rnacentral:rRNA from 1 species
UACAGAGGUCUCAAGCGUUGUUCGGAUUCAUUGGGCGUAAAGGGUGUGUAGGUGGCGCGCUAAGUCGGGUGUGAAAUUUCGGAGCUUAACUCCGAAACUGCAUUCGAUACUGGCGGUGCUUGAGGACUGGAGAGGAGACUGGAAUUCAUGGUGUAGCAGUGAAAUGCGUAGAGAUCAUGAGGAAGACCAGUGGCGAAGGCGGGUCUCUGGACAGUUCCAUGACGCUGGAGGCACGAAGGCCCAGGGGAGCAAACGGG